UAGGGAAUCUUCCGCAAUGGACGCAAGUCUGACGGAGCAACGCCGCGUGAGUGAAGAAGGAUUUCGGUUCGUAAAACUCUGUUGUUAGAGAAGAACAGCGCAUAGAGUAACUGUUAUGCGUGUGACGGUAUCUAACCAGAAAGCCACGGCUAACUACGUGCCAGCAGCCGCGGUAAUACGUAGGUGGCAAGCGUUGUCCGGAUUUAUUGGGCGUAAAGCGAGCGCAGGCGGUCAAUUAAGUCUGAUGUGAAAGCCCCCGGCUCAACCGGGGAGGGUCAUUUGAAACUGGUUGACUUGAGUGCAGAAGAGGAGAGUGGAAUUCCAUGUGUAGCUGUGAAAUGCGUAGAUAUAUGGAGGAACACCAGUGGCUAAGGCGACUCUCUGGUCUGUAACUGACGCUGAGGUUCGAAAGCGUGGGUAGCAAACAGG
rnacentral:rRNA from 1 species